rnacentral:tRNA from 1 species
GGGGUUGUGGCUCAGUGGUAGAGUGCUUGUGUAGCACAUAUGGGGCCCUGGGUUCAAUCCUCAGCACCACA